rnacentral:rRNA from 1 species
AUUGAACGCUGGCGGCAGGCCUAACACAUGCAAGUCGAGCGGAUGAAGGGAGCUUGCUCCUGGAUUCAGCGGCGGACGGGUGAGUAAUGCCUAGGAAUCUGCCUGGUAGUGGGGGAUAACGUCCGGAAACGGGCGCUAAUACCGCAUACGUCCUGAGGGAGAAAGUGGGGGAUAUUCGGACCUCACGCUAUCAGAUGAGCCUAGGUCGGAUUAGCUAGUUGGUGGGGUAAAGGCCUACCAAGGCGACGAUCCGUAACUGGUCUGAGAGGAUGAUCAGUCACACUGGAACUUAGACACGUUCCAGACUCCUACGGGAGGCAGCAGUGGGGAAUAUUGGACAAUGGGCGAAAGCCUGAUCCAGCCAUGCCGCGUGUGUGAAGAAGGUCUUCGGAUUGUAAAGCACUUUAAGUUGGGAGGAAGGGCAGUAAGUUAAUACCUUGCUGUUUUGACGGUACCAACAGAAUAAGCACCGGCUAACUUCGUG